rnacentral:rRNA from 1 species
CCCUUAGAUGUUCUGGGCUGCACGCGCGCUACACUGAAGCGUUCAACGAGUAUUCACCUUGCCCGGGAGGGUUGGGUAAUCUUUUGAAAACGCUUCGUGAUGGGGAUAGAUUAUUGCAAUUAUUAAUCUUCAACGAGGAAUUCCUAGUAAGCGCGAGUCAUCAGCUCGUGCUGAUUACGUCCCUGCCCUUUGUACACACCGCCCGUCGCUCCUACCGAUUGAAUGGUCCGGUGAAGCCUCCGGAUUGGCGCGCACCUCGGUGCCGCCGAGAAGUUGGCUAAACCUUACCAUUUAGAGGAAGGUGAAGUCGUAACA